GUAAGGUCCUUCAGCAAUGGAGUGCUAGGAAGUCACCCAGGUUGCUGGCCUUCCAGAGGAAAAGGGUCACAGAAAUUCUCUCUUGUUGGUCAUCUCACCAAAGAGGCCAAGGCCUGAAUUGGCAUAAUGACUGAACUAUCAUCUCAUCCGAGGUCAGAGUUGGGAUGCACGCCAGGGAACUUGGACUCCUGCUCCCUGGUCUGUAUCUAUUCUGUGGCUAACUAGAGGACUUCAUUCUCCAGGGAUAUCCUCUUGGAACCUUUUGGAAGAAGCAAUAAACUCUCUUAAACAAAACAAAAAGGAACAAAGUUUGUCAUCCUAAGACACCAGACCUUUAACGAGGCUCAGGUAACCUCUGACAGUGCUUAUGGUGCUAACAAAGAGUCCCUGUCAGCCUUUGUAGAAGACUUUGAGACUUCAAUCAGCAUUGACUUUCCAGAAGAUGAGGAGUAUGUUGGUGAAGUGCUAGACUGUGGUUCUUCGGAUAUAUCAGUUCAUGGAAGAACAGAAGAAGCUCAGCUUGCAGAUGAAAAAGAUGACAGAAAUAGCAGUAUCCCAGAAGUUGUGAUCACACAGGCAGAUGAGGAAAGAGAGCACUAAGAUUUUAUGAACACAAAAAGAUUGAAGAAUCAAAUCUCAGCAGCAGUAAAGAUGAAACUGAUAAAGGUUGGGACUUCAGAGGAGACUAAUUACAGCAUGCACAAUACGAAGCAUAAAUGUGGGACACUUACCUUAAUCCUCUUAUGUUUGUGUGCCUUGAAGUCAUGGUUCUUUGUAUGGUUUAGGAUUUCAAGAGCCUGAUUCUUCGAAUGUUGAGGAAGAAGACGUCAAGGAAGUGAAUGGGUAGCUGGGACAUCAUCGGAAUAGAGGAAGCAUACAGAAGUCUUGGAUACAGAAGAGUUACCGGUAGG